rnacentral:rRNA from 1 species
UACGAAGGGGGCUAGCGUUGUUCGGAUUUACUGGGCGUAAAGCGCACGUAGGCGGAUUGUUAAGUCGGGGGUGAAAUCCUGGAGCUCAACUCCAGAACUGCCUUCGAUACUGGCAAUCUCGAGUCCGGAAGAGGUAAGUGGAACUCCUAGUGUAGAGGUGGAAUUCGUAGAUAUUAGGAAGAACACCAGUGGCGAAGGCGGCUUACUGGCCGGUACUGACGCUGAGGUGCGAAAGCGUGGGGAGCAACAGG